CUUCUUCAAUCUGUUGCGGGCAGAUGAAAUGGAUGUGGCUAUCCAUGCCGCCAGCCGUGACAAUCUUGCCCUCACCGGCAAUGGCUUCCGUGCCGGGACCAACAAUAAUAUCAACACCCGGCUGCGUAUCGGGGUUGCCCGCCUUGCCAAUCGCCACGAUGCGCCCGUCUUUCAAUCCGAUAUCGGCUUUGACAAUGCCCCAGUGAUCAACAAUCAAAGCAUUGGUGAUGACGGUGUCCACAGCACCUUGGGCGCGCGUAACCUGAGAUUGGCCCAUGCCAUCACG
rnacentral:sRNA from 1 species